UGUGGGAUGUGGCUCCGGAAAGAAUGAAAACUAGAAAAGUUUGUCUUUGCACCGGUUACCAAGAAGUGAAAAUAGAAAAGGAGAAUGGUUAGAAGCAAUUGAAACUGAAAAUAUCAAGCCAAAUGUAAAGGAUAUAUCAUAGUACAUUUCCCAGAAAGUGCUUUCAAUAGAACAAUGGAUGUGAUUAGUCUGCACGAUGAUGCUACACCAGUAUGUCUGCCGCUGCAUUCACACAGGGUACCAGUUGAGCCUCAAAUCCCGAACUCAAAAAUGAACAGAGUGUAUCUGAGUGCAUUCCAGGCUACACAAAAUAGUUUAGCUCUAUAAUUUUCUCUAUUAUUAUAUAUUAUUGUUUUUUUUGUCUAUUAUUUAUAAAUAAAUAAAUACAAUUACUGUA